rnacentral:rRNA from 1 species
UACGGAGGGGGCUAGCGUUGUUCGGAAUUACUGGGCGUAAAGCGCACGUAGGCGGCUUUGUAAGUUAGAGGUGAAAGCCUGGGGCUCAACUCCAGAAUUGCCUUUAAGACUGCAUCGCUUGAACGUCGGAGAGGUGAGUGGAAUUCCGAGUGUAGAGGUGAAAUUCGUAGAUAUUCGGAAGAACACCAGUGGCGAAGGCGGCUCACUGGACGACUGUUGACGCUGAGGUGCGAAAGCGUGGGGAGCAAACGGG